AGCAGCCGCGGUAAUUCCAGCUCCAAUAGCGUAUAUUAAAGUUGUUGCAGUUAAAAAGCUCGUAGUUGAAUUUCGGGGUCAGUAGGUUGGUCGUGCCACCGGUACGUACUGGUCUCACUGAUUCCUCCUUCCUGAAGAACCGUAAUGCCAUUAAUUUGGUGUUGCGGGGAAACAGGACUGUUACUUUGAAAAAAUUAGAGUGUUUAAAGCAGGCUAACGCUUGAAUACAUUAGCAUGGAAUAAUGAAAUAGGACGUUCGAUCUUAUUUUGUUGGUUUCUAAGAUUGACGUAAUGAUUAAUAGGGAUAGUUGGGGGCAUUAGUAUUCAAUUGUCAGAGGUGAAAUUCUUGGAUUUAUUGAAGACUAACUACUGCGAAAGCAUUUGCCAAGGAUGUUUUCAUUAAUCAAGAACGAAAGUUAGGGGAUCGAAGACGAUCAGAUACCGUCGUAGUCUUAACCAUAAACUAUGCCGACUAGGGAUCGGAUGAUGUUAAUUUUUUAAUGACUCAUUCGGCGCCUUA
rnacentral:rRNA from 1 species